rnacentral:tRNA from 1 species
GGGCCUGAAGCUUAAACCUGGUAUAAGCAUCCGACUCAUAAUCGGGAGAUAGUCGGUUCGAACCCGACCGGGCCUACCA